rnacentral:snRNA from 1 species
AUUAGUAAACAAAAAUUGUG